rnacentral:rRNA from 1 species
GAUCAUGGCUAAGGACGAACGCUGGCGGCGUGCUUAACACAUGCAAGUCGAACGAAGAGCGACGGAAGCUUGCUUCUAUCAAUCUUAGUGGCGAACGGGUGAGUAACGCGUAAUCAACCUGCCCUUCAGAGGGGGACAACAGUUGGAAACGACUGCUAAUACCGCAUACGAUCUAAUCUCGGCAUCGAGGAUAGAUGAAGGGUGGCCUCUACAUGUAAGCUAUCACUGAAGGG